rnacentral:rRNA from 1 species
UGAGGAAUAUUGGGCAAUGCCCGCAAGGGUGACCCAGCAACGCCGCGUGGAGGAUGAAUGUCGUAAGAUUGUAAACUCAUGUUAGAGGGGAAGAAUAGUACCGGUUGGACCGGUAUAUGACUGUACCCUCAGAGAAAGCCCCGGCUAACUACGUGCCAGCAGCCGCGGUAAUACGUAGGGGGCAAGCGUUGUCCGGAUUUACUGGGUGUAAAGGGCGCGCAGGCGGGAUAAAAAGUCAGUGGUGAAAUCCUACAGCUUAACUGUAGAACUGCCUUUGAUACUUUCAUUCUUGAGUUCGGGAGAGAGAGACGGAAUUCCAGGUGUAGUGGUGAAAUACGUAGAUAUCUGGAAGAACACCAGUUGCGAAGGCGGUCUCUUGGUCCGACACUGACGCUGAGGCGCGAAAGCGUGGGGAGCAAACA